ACAACUACGAUCCAGAAAUGCGCUGUGUAGAUAUCUUCUCAGCAUCGACGGGUAAAGUGUGCUACGAACUGAUGGACUCCAGUAAACUGAUCACUAGUCUCACUCACUUCAAUUCUACUGGCUCCACGUUAGCUACAAGCUCAGGAAGAAAAAUAAAUCUUUGGCAGUACGGAAAAACGUGAGGAUGUAAACUAACGUAUGGCAUCUCAUAUUCUAUGAGUGUGGGAUGAAAGGAAAGAGAGUACAAAAAAGCCACAAAUCACAAAUGAAUGAAAUUCAUUAUAGGUAGAAAGAUCUUCUGCAACUGUUCUUCAAAGUUUAAAAUUGUGUAGAAAAUAUAUUUUUGUAUUGUAUUGUAUAUUAGUUUUGUGACUUCUGAUUAAGUUUAAAAUGGUUUAUGUAAUCCUGUCAAAAGCCGCUAAUUUAAUAAAUUUCAUCUAACAAUAAGAAGUGGAAAUAAAGAAUACAUUAUAUAUGCAAUGGUACAAACUAAACCGAAAUUUAUCUAUGCUCUACCAUAGUUUCAUAGUAACUCUUAAUUAUCUGCUAUUGACCAGCAUGGAUACUAUGGAUAAGUGAAUUUUCAUAGAUAAUACAUAAAAUUGUCAAUAGUAAGAUAAAAAUAACCAACUCAGUGGCUAUAUGCAUAAACUGUCUCAGUUUGUGUUUUUAUACAGGGUGUAACAAAAAGGUUGGGCUGGCUAUGCAUUUUCAGAUUUUAUGUUUGAUUCUAAGCUAAAAAUGAUGAAUAAGUUUUUUCCAAUUUCCACUUUGUUUUGCAGCAAUACACUAUUUUUUUUGUUUUUUUUAAUUAAAAUAAUGUUAUCUUUACGAUUGUUACAAAACUUGGUAAACGGGUCCAUGUCAGAAGGUAUUAUAUCUGAAAAGUAUUUUUGAAUUAAUGUAAAUAUUAUCAAAAUGGCAGGAAUUUAAUUUUUGUUUUAUGAAAUAUUUUAUUUAUUAAACCACUGGUUUUAUCAAAAUAUUAUGAGACAAAACAGUUUUAAAAUAAGUAUAGUGUAUUCUUCAAUUAUUUCUGAAUAUUUUUAAGAAGACAAAAUAUGUAGUAAACUUAAUUAAAUUUAUUUUCCAAGGUAGUUUAAAAACUGUUCACUGUUCAGUCUUUACUGUGGAUACCGCACAUAAUCCGCAAGAUGGAUAAUCUGUAACACGGGUAAACCGCGUAUAUAGAAUUGAGAAUUUACUGUGUCCUGUAUUGUUUAAUUAAUUGUAUUUUAAAGGUAUGUUAAUUACAUAUACAAAUUUUCUAAUUAAACAAGGUGUAUUUAAUAGGAUUUAAUCAUUUUUGUGAAAAUGUAUUUAUUUUUUUAUUUAAACAUUUUAUUAUUAAGUAUACUACUGUAUUUCACUACAUAAAAAUCUCAUAUAAUUUAAAUUUAAUGUUUAAAUUAAAAAGUUAAAUUAGUGCUUAUUAAUUUCAGUGCUUGUUAAUGACAUUUUACCCUUUAUAGAUUAAAAGUAUAUUAGCCUUUUUCAAACUUGUAUAUGAUAUCAAUAUAUACUUUGUUAAUGGAAAAAUAAACAACUAUUUUAUGUAAAAACUAUACCCACUUUUGGAAUUAUUUAAUACUGAUACAUACAGUACUGCAGUAUAACUCAUGAAACUAUUAAAGAAGCCUGAAAACAGUCACAAAUUUAAUAUUCCCUUUGGAUUAAAAUCCAAUUUUUAGAAACAAUUUAUUUACGUAAUUUAGUACAAAUCUUUGUAAUUAAUACUCUUGAAGAAUGCUCUCAAACGUGUUAAAGAAUAGCCUGUUUCACUUUUAUUAAUUUUCUCUAUUUAAUUGUGUCUUAUAAACAAAAUUAACUAUUUAUUUAAAUAAUUCAAGCAGCGUAUGUAAGGGCUGAGUUAAAAGAUUUUUGACCCUGUAUAAUAAAGUAAUGUACUAGCAACAAAUAAGGUAAUGCAGAUAUGGUUUGUAUACAUGAUUUUUUUUAAAUACUAUCUUGAUGCUAAGAAGUGUGACAAGAAAGGAUCUUAUUGUUACUAUGAAACUAAUUUACAUCUAUUUCACAAUUUUGAGUAAGUCUAAUUUGAGUUUUAACCCUAGAACUAGCAUGCAAUCGAACACGUGUCUUGAGUGAGUUAUCUGCACAGGAAAGACAUCAAGUCAGGAUAGCUGUGUGGUCUAAUGCGCCACUCUCAGAUGCGGAAGUUACUUCGGAGUCGUGGGUUCGAUUCCCACUCCUGACGUCAGGGAUUUUUGCAGUCUAGUAUACACUUUUGAGAGUCUCUGGUCUGUGGUAAAUCCAGUGGGAGAAAUCCGGUGGGAGAGCCCACCUUCUAAAUUAACGGUUGUUGUAUUGGGUGAAAGUUAAUUGGAUCUGUUUUGUUCAUAUACAAAUGUACCAGACACAAAAAACCAGUUUUGCAUUUUUGUCGUACAUAAUAAUAGAUUUUAAGAGUUAAAAAACCAUUUAUACUACAAAACACCCAAAUCAUAAUAAGUCUGUACUCCCGGUGGGAAAAAAAUGAGUUGUAAAUUACGACUUGCCAGUUUUAGGGUUAAGGUUCUCGAAAACAUUUUGAGUUGCAAUGUUUUUAAAACAACACAGUCAAAAAAUAUAGCUACAGCAUGAUUCACAAAAUAUAAGAAUGAUUAUUUUAGACUAGAUGAAUGACAGUAAUAGAGGGUAAAAAUCGUUCAGUAUUGUACGUACAUGAUAUUAUCUCAUAUGAUAUUGCAUAUCAGGUUUUAAAAAAGACUGCUAAAUACUGCAUAUGGUAUAAAGUGCACUAGCUACUUUUGUUAGUCAACUUUAUGUUACAGUUGAUAAUUCAAAUUUUGUUUGAGUGGUCAUUUUUAUUGUCAUUGUUACAAGGAAUUAAAUGAUAGUAACAUAGAGAUUGAUUUGGAGGAAUAAUGCUAUGCUUGUUGGAAAACAAACAUUUUGUUACCAAGCCUUUUAGCCCAGAAAAAGUAAACUUUUUAAAACCAAUCUAAGCCUGAAAUUUAAUCAAUUAUUAUUUCCAACCCUACAUUUUAGUUAAUUUAUUAUUUUUACAGACAGUAAAAAACAGUUUACAAUAUGUCAUUUUUUUGUCUUUAGGGUUACAUGUUAUAUUGUUAGUGCCUUAAGUAGUGUUUGUUUUUUCACUACUCUCUUUUACUUACCAAACAACAUGUUUAUCCAUCAAGUGAGAAGCUAGGUUAAAAGCAGGCAGCACUACAGGAUACGGUCUAAUCCAAUUUCAAUAAUAAUAGUUGGUAUUACUACAUUUUAUUGAUGUUAAUAAGUUUUAGUCAUUAAUUUAAAGGCUGUGUUUUAUUCCAUUGGGAUAGUCUAUAAUUGUUUUGUUUUGAUAUUUGUGUUUGGUAAGGAAUUACUACUGUAUUCAUGUUAAGGUAUAUUUUUUACUUAAGCUCUUUGUAUAAUAUUUGUUUACUUUUGUAUUUAAAUAAAGUAUGUUAUAUA